CGGUUUCUCUUGCGCUUGCGCAGCCUGGAAGCUCCCGGAAGAAGGAUGGGCGUGACAAUGGGGGGUGUAACCGUGACAGCAAAGGCAAGUUCGGCGACUUGGAUGGGAUAACAUUUCACUGACUGGACUCUGCUCGCUCCUGGCCUACUUCAGCUGAGAGAUCCUGGACCCCUGACAAGAGCCGGCAGGAGAGAGAUUCACAGAAGGGACUCUGACAUUUACUCUGGAAUGCAGCUUUCUGAUAAAGUUUCAGAUCAUAAAACGGAAUUGGGUAAGAAACUACAGAACUCUAAUGGAGAAACUGAUGACUUCAUGAAACUGCUAAGAAAAGAGCAAGAUCAAAAGUUGAUUAUAUGGGGGCUGGCCCCAUGGCU